GGGGACGUAGCUCAGCUGGGAGAGCGCCUGCUUUGCAAGCAGGAAGUCAGGGGUUCGAGUCCCCUCGUCUCCA
rnacentral:tRNA from 1 species